GUGCUUGCUUUGGCAGCACAUAUACUAAAAUUGGAAUGAUAGAGAUUAGCAUGAUUUCUGUGCAAGGAUGACACACAAAUUCGUGAAGUAUUCCAUGUUUUU
ensembl:snRNA U6 U6 spliceosomal RNA